UUGUUUACAAAAAUAAUUAUAUAUAUGUACAUAUACAUGUACACACAGUUCUUUUAGUUUUUUGGUGUUUAUGCAUAGGAGUGGGUACGGGUCGAGUGCCCGUCCCAAACGUGAUUUGACUGACCUGACUCUACUCUAUCUAUCGGAUCACUAUUUUUUUAUCCUAAUCCGCUCCACUUAUCUCCGGAUACCCGAGGACCGGGUACAAAAAAAAGGGUGGGUCAUCGGGUAUCCACCCUUAUAAUUUAUAUUUACUAAUAUCCAUUUUUCAAGCACAACAAAUAUCACCUUCCAAUUAAUUACUAAACCAGAAUAAGAAAACAUAAAGAAUAAGUGCUAAAUUCAGCUUCGACAUAAACAAAAAAUAGAAAAGAAAGUGCCAACCAAAUCAACUUCAGCAACUCUUGGUUCUAGAAACAAAUUCCCCCAACCUAACAACUUUCACAAGCCUACUAAAAUUCAAGAAAUCAUAGGCUAAAAGAGAUGCUACAUGCUGAUGCGAAUAACUACAGAAGUACACCCAAGUAAACUUGAAUUAUUUAAGAAGCGCCAGCAAAGUCAAUAAGUGCGGGUUCUGCACUUUCCAACUCCACUUUUCUGUUAGAGUGCACUUACAAGGUUGAGAGUUUGCAUUGACGUUCCGGCGUUCUACAGCUUCUGCUUGAGGCUUGCUUUGAGGAGCACCAGCAAAUCAGAAAUGGGUUGUGAUUCUCUCAUGAUUCUAAGACAAUCGUAUAUUUGUAGCACGAAGUGGUGAAAAUUGAAUAGAAAUUUGGAAUUGUUGUGGUGAAAAUUGAAGAGAAGAAGAGGAGAUAUUCGGCUAAGAUAGAGAAGAGGAGAUAUUCGGCUAAGAUAGAGAGAAACUUCAAAAGUGAAAAGCUGAACGUUGAUAAUAUUUAGGUCUUUAGGGUUAAUAAUUU
rnacentral:lncRNA from 1 species